CAGUCGCCACGGUAAUACGAAGGGUGCAAGCGUUAAUCGGAAUUACUGGGCGUAAAGCGUGCGUAGGCGGCUUUUUAAGUCGGAUGUGAAAUCCCUGAGCUUAACUUAGGAAUUGCAUUCGAUACUGGGAAGCUAGAGUAUGGGAGAGGAUGGUAGAAUUCCAGGUGUAGCGGUGAAAUGCGUAGAGAUCUGGAGGAAUACCGAUGGCGAAGGCAGCCAUCUGGCCUAAUACUGACGCUGAGGUACGAAAGCAUGGGGAGCAAACAGGAUUAGAUACCCCCGUAGUCCCUGUCUCUUAUAC
rnacentral:rRNA from 1 species